rnacentral:rRNA from 1 species
GAUGAACGCUGGCGGCGUGCCUAAUACAUGCAAGUCGAGCGAAUGGAUUAAGAGCUUGCUCUUAUGAAGUUAGCGGCGGACGGGUGAGUAGCACGUGGGUAACCUGCCCAUAAGACUAGGAUAACUCCGGGAAACCGGGGCUAAUACCGGAUAACAUUUUGAACCGCAUGGUUCGAAAUUGAAAGGCGGCUCCGGCUGUCACUUAUGGAUGGACCCGCGUCGCAUUAGCUAGUUGGUGAGGUAACGGCUCACCAAGGCAACGAUGCGUAGCCGACCUGAGAGGGUGAUCGGCCACACUGGGACUGAGACACGGCCCGGACUCCUACGGGAGGCAGCAGUAGGGAAUCUUCCGCAAUGGACGAAAGUCUGACGGAGCAACGCCGCGCGAGUGAUGAAGGCUUUCGGGUCGUAAAACUCUGUUGUUAGGGAAGAACAAGUGCUAGUUGAAUAAGCUGGCACCUUGACGGUACCUAACCAGAAAGCCACGGCUAACUACGUGCCAGCAGCCGCCGUAA